rnacentral:rRNA from 1 species
UUUCCGUAGGUGAACCUGCGGAAGGAUCAUUGUCGAAACAUGCAAUAGCAGAAUGACUUGAGAACUUGUACAACUCCGGCGCAGUGGCGCCAAGGAAUUUCGUGAUUGGACUGCCCGCUCGCAAGGCUUGUUUCUAGUUCUUGUGGCCGGCGUCUGUUUUAAAAAAGACUCUUGGCAAUGGAUAUCUCGGCUCUUGCAUCGAUGAAGAACGUAGCGAAAUGCGAUACUUGGUGUGAAUUGCAGAAUCCCGUGAACCAUCGAAUCUUUGAACGCAAGUCGCGCCUGCGGCCAAUUAGGCCAAGGGCACGUCUGCUUGGGUGUCAUGCAUUUUGUCGUCCCCCUCAUGUUUUCCGAGCGGGAGUGGACCGUGGCCUCCCGGGCCCAUCCCUGGGCGUGGUUGGCUGAAAUUCUUGUCCUUAUAAUUGAACGACGUAUUGGCGUGUGGUGGAUGUGCUGCGUGUGCAUUGAGCCGCGCCUUUCACAGCUUGAUUGUGGCGUUAGACCCUCCGAAGCCGGCAGCGCCGGCUCUCUGAUUGUGACCCCAAGUCAGGCGGGACCACCCGCUGAGUUUAA